ensembl:lncRNA
AUGAAAGUGGUUGUGUCCAGGACAGGCGCAGCUGCCGUUCCCGACGAGGGGCGCAGAAUGCGGCGGCGGCCAGCCUGGAGCGCAGGCCCUGGGGCGCCCGCGCCGGGCGAGGUGGCAGCACACCCAGGCCCCCCAGGCAGUCCUGAGGAUGGCCAGCAGAGAAACAAGAAAAUGGACUCCCUGGCUGCUGGAGAGUUGAAUGCCAGGCACCAGCCAUGGGUACCAGAGUUCGUAGCGCAUUGGAGGAAAACACAUCAAGACACUGCCAAGGAAGAUACACAUUACAACAGCAUGCUGCAACACCUCUGCCCAUGCAAGACAACAGCAGCCCACAUCCAGAAAACGGACAUCUUCCCACCCCACUGGCUCACUCCACUGAGCUGGAAGUGGCCUUUGUCAGGACCCUUUGAGGUCUUGAGUGGAUCUACUUUUCCCAAGAUAUUAAACCAGUGACUUUCAAUCCUGGCUGCACAUUACUGUCAUCUGGAUAUUAAAAAAUAUUGAUGCCUGGAUCUUGCUCCCACCCAAAAGAAUCUGACUGGAUUGAUGGGGGUUUCAAAAAUUUUUUAAGUGUUUGUUAAAGGAUGACAUAUAUGCAAAAAAAAAAAAAAAAAAAAAAGCACAAACCAUAAGUGUAAAGCUCAGUGAAUUUUCACAAAUGAAUUUACCCCGAGUAACCAGCAUCCAAAUCAUGAAACACAACAUCACCAGCAACCCCUGGCACCCCUUCUGCUUACUACUUGACUCCAAAGGCUAACGUCCAUUCUGUCUUCUAAUGGUAUGGAAUCGUUUCUCCUGUUUUCAAACUUUAUAUGAUGUAAAUGGAAUCAUGCAGUAUAUAUCCUCUUGUUAUGUUCGUGAGAUGAUUCAUCCAAGUUGUUACUUAGAGCUGCAGUUUAUUCACUCUUCUUGCUAUAGGGUAUUCCACUCUAUGGAUAUUCCUCAAUUUCUCUAUCCGUUCUACUGUGAUGGAUUUUUGGAUAUUCGAGUUAUUAUUUACAGUUCGGAACUAUUAUGACUAUUGCAAUGACAUGCUAGUGUGUAUUUUUGGAGCACAUUUAUAUCCAUUGCUGGGCAAGUAUGGAUAUGAGUAUGUUCAGCUUUAGUACCUGUGCCAAAUAAUGUUCCCAGGUGGCUGUACCCAUUUACAUUCCCUCCAGCAAUGUAUGAGAGUUCUGGUUGCUUCACAUUUUUGCCAGCCAUUGAUAUUUUCUAUCUUUUUCAUGUUAGCCAUUCUGGCAGGUAUGUAGCGAUAUCACAAUGUGGUUUGAAUUUGCAUUUCCCUGAUGACUAAUACAGCUGAGCAACUUUUCGUAUGUUUGUUAGCCAUUUAGAUCUUCUCUUUGCAAAGUGCUUGUUGGAAUAUUUGGACAUGAGUAUUUUUUAAAAGCUCCUUAGGUAACUCUACUGUGUAGCCAGGGUGGAAAACCACUGAACUAAAACCACAAAUUAGUAUCUGUGGCUCCCUUUCUUCAUGCUUUGCCCUUGAACUUAGAGCAUUUUGGAUCUGCGAGGACCUCAUGGAACUGGGAAAAGAUUAUCUUCACUCCUUACUAAGAUGAGACUGUCAGGAAGAAGCGAGAGAUUGGAGCUGGCAGUUAAGAAUCUUUAGGAAUGUGACCUCUGCUUCAGAAGGGUCUGGGGAGGGCCUGUGGUGUCCACAGCUGCCACAGACAUUUCCUAGCCACAAAAAUGGCCUCGUGGUCUCCCCAGAGCUCCAGGCAGUCAUGGCGAGGAAGCGGAGGACCCCAUGCCAGGUACUUCCCAGUUUCUAGGCCAACAUGAAUGGGACACAGUUCAUAUGGGGUUGUGGUUAGACUGGGGAUAGUGGAGCAUGUGUUCUGGGGACCUGCGUGUGGCCAAGGGAGGCCUGCUGUCUGUGGCCUUUGUCCCAGAUAGGAAAUCAGCCAGUGGGACUCUCCUGCAUGGGUCCAGGCCUGGCUAGCUCUUGAAUUCUGUGGGUUUGCAUGUGGGUCCUUACACAUGCGUCCUAGAGCAGGGUCCCAGGGGGCCACCCCACCCCUCCUUGACCCCUCACUCCUCUGAGCUGGGAAACACAUGGCAUGAGAGAACAUACUGUGGCUUCUAACGACAUCGUGUCUUGAUUGCAUCCCCAUUGCAUCGUCUGGGCUCAUCUCAUCCCCACCUCUGGACUGUAACAUCAUCCCAGGGACUGCCAGACACUCCUCUGUGCUCCCCCACAGCGAGUAUAAUGCCAUUUGGUAAUUCAGUACAGCCUCUUCCAACUUGAGAAGGAAGAUGCAAUAAAAAAAAACAGACCACACA